GUGAGCCCUUAAAAGGGACAGAAAUUUUGCACUCGGGGAGCUCAGAUUUUAAGACAGUAGCUUGCUGAUGCUCCCAGCUGAAUAAAGCCCUUCCUUCUACAACUCGGUGUCUGAGGGGUUUUGUCUGCAGCUCGUCCUGCUACAAUGGUGGUUCCUUUAUAGGAUAUUCAUGAUUCCCUACCUUGAAUCAAUGCCGCCAUCUUCCUUUUAACUCAGGGACUAUGAGAUACACAGGUCUUCAAUGCCAGUCACCUCAUGGACUCACCACCUAGUUUAUCAAGGAGAAGUUGAUGCUGGGAGCAACUACAAAAAUGAAGCUACUCUGAUUUAGCCAAAAAGAUUCUCCAUUCUAAGGACUCCUGUGAUUUGAUUGGGAGCCUCUACAUCAUUCAGGAGAAUCCUCUGACCUCAAGUUCUGUAACCUGAAUCACAUCAUAAGGGUAGCCCGAAUGCCAUGUCUUCACAUUUUAUUCCACUUGGAUCUCCUGUAGAAUGGCUGUUUACCAUGGAAGGGCUGAUUCCAAUUCUCACGUUAAUCACUUACAAGGCAGAAACCAGCUAGUCUAGACUGGUAAAGGGCUUUCCAGUUCAUUCAUCAGCCUCCUCUGAUUCUCUCAGGGCUCAUUCAGAUGUUCCCAAUCCUUUCACAAGAUUACAAUUCAACACAUAUGGAAGCACAAAAAAAAAUGCUGAUUUCCCCACAUAAAUAAUAAUUAAUUACUAAUGAAGAUAAUGGUGACAGACUAUGGGACUUAAGAAAAAACCUACGAGGAUGUAUCACAAGACAAAUCCUUCUAAAAAUUAAACUAUUUGCAGACAAUCAGAAAGUCAAAACUAACAAUCUCUUAAACAUUUCUCAGAUAUGGCUGUAAUAACAUAGCAUUCCUAUAAAAAUGAACUUUUAGGUUAAAUAUAUCUUUACACAUACAUGCACUUGCACCCACAUGUACACACAAUCUAUUUUUGGAUCUACUGAAUAAAGCAUCAUUAUUUAAAGUGAAGCAAUAAAAGUUUCAACGUCUUUUUUUCUAAGUAUUAGCCUUGAAGUUAUUCACCCUAACCAAA
rnacentral:lncRNA from 1 species